GGAUGAACGCUGGCGGUCUGCUUAACACAUGCAAGUCGAACGGACCCGUUCGGGUUAGUGGCGGACGGGUGAGUAACGCGUGAGAAUCUGCCUUCAGGUCUGGGACAACAGAAGGAAACUUCUGCUAAUCCGGGAUGAGUCCUUUUUAGGUAAAAGAAGAAAUUGCCUGGAGAUGAGCUCGCGUCUGAUUAGCUAGUUGGUGAGGUAAAAGCUUACCAAGGCGACGAUCAGUAGCUGGUCUGAGAGGAUGAGCAGCCACAC
rnacentral:rRNA from 1 species